rnacentral:rRNA from 1 species
CCCUAGUCGCUGACCUACCGUGGUUAGCUGCCUCCUUGCGGUUAGCGCACUACCUUCGGGUAAAACCAACUCCCAUGGUGUGACGGGCGGUGUGUACAAGGCCCGGGAACGUAUUCACCGCGGCAUGCUGAUCCGCGAUUACUAGCGAUUCCAACUUCAUGCACUCGAGUUGCAGAGUGCAAUCCGAACUGAGAUGGCUUUUGGAGAUUAGCUCACACUCGCGUGCUCGCUGCCCACUGU